rnacentral:misc_RNA from 1 species
UAUUUUUUGCAUUCAAUUACAAAGCCGAUUUAAACUCCAAAUAAUAGGACACCAAGUGCAAAAAUUAGGCUCAUGCCUUGAGUAGAAAAUAUAUACAAUUCAAUGAGGAAGAAAGCCUUUCAUUUAUGGCAAAUGAACAUAGACAUAUAGUGUUAGUCCUUAGAGGAACCGUCUAAGGGCCAUUAGAUACAUCCAACCUUUCUCAAUACAACAAAGGAACAGAACCAAUUCAAGUUCCAUCUACUUGCUUCGGUUCAACUUCCUUGGGUAACUACUGAACAAGGCACAGCCAAAUAGUCAAAUAUACUUGUGUAGAUCUCUUGCUGAUCAGGAAAAGGCAAGCUUUGGGUAAGUGUUUGGAGCUCUGAAGAAGAAAAACUACAA